rnacentral:RNase_P_RNA from 1 species
CGAGCCGGGCGGACGGCCGCGUGGAGGUUCCUAUGGACCUCCCCGAGGAACGUCCGGGCUCCACAGGGCAGGGUGGUGGCUAACGGCCACCCGGGGUGACCCGCGGGACAGUGCCACAGAAAGCAAACCGCCGGGGAUCUCGGUCCUCGGUAAGGGUGAAACGGUGGUGUAAGAGACCACCAGCGCCUGAGGCGACUCAGGCGGCUAGGUAAACCCCACCCGGAGCAAGGUCAAGAGGAGCCGCCUUCUCGAAAGAGGGGCGUCUCUGCGCGGACGUUCGAGGGCUGCCCGCCCAAGUCCGCGGGUAGACCGCACGAGGCCGGCGGCAACGCCGGUCCUAGAUGGAUGGCCGUCGCCCUGGGCUCCGCGAGGAACCUGGGGGACAGAACCCGGCGUACAGCCCGACUCGUCUG